rnacentral:rRNA from 1 species
UACGUAGGGUGCGAGCGUUGUCCGGAAUUAUUGGGCGUAAAGAGCUCGUAGGCGGUUUGUCACGUCUGCUGUGAAAUCCCGAGGCUCAACCUCGGGCCUGCAGUGGGUACGGGCAGACUGGAGUGCGGUAGGGGAGAAUGGAAUUCCUGGUGUAGCGGUGGAAUGCGCAGAUAUCGGGAGGAACACCCGUGGCUAAGGCGGCUCUCUAGUACGGUACUGACGCUGAGACGCGAAAGCGUGGGGAGCGAACAGGG